rnacentral:rRNA from 1 species
UACAGAGGUCUCAAGCGUUGUUCGGAUUCAUUGGGCGUAAAGGGUGCGUAGGCGGUGUGGUAAGUCGAAUGUGAAAUCUCGGAGCUCAACUCCGAAACUGCACUCGAUACUACCAUACUCGAGGAUUGUAGAGGAGAUCGGAAUUCACGGUGUAGCAGUGAAAUGCGUAGAUAUCGUGAGGAAGACCAGUUGCGAAAGCGGAUCUCUGGGCAACUCCUGACGCUGAGGCACGAAGGCUAGGGGAGCAAACGGG